UGGUUCCCUAGCUUGUGGACAGCAGAGCGUAGAACUUCUUAGCCUCCAUAAUCACUGCUGAAAACAACAUACUCUCCACUCUAAAGGAGCCAGAACCC
rnacentral:lncRNA from 1 species